GCUCGUAUAGCUCAGCGGUAGAGCGUCUCACUCGUAUCUUCAGAUCGAGUGACCUCAGGUAAUGAGAAGGUCCUUGGUUCAAGUCCAAGUUCGAGCA